AUUGAACGCUGGCGGCAUGCCUUACACAUGCAAGUCGAACGGUAGAGGGGCACCCCUCGAGAGUGGCGAACGGGUGAGUAAUGCACCGGAACGUGCCCAGUAGUGGGGGAUAGCCCGGCGAAAGCCGGAUUAAUACCGCAUACGACCUACGGGUGAAAGGGGGGGAUCGCAAGACCUCUCGCUAUUGGAGCGGCCGAUGUCAGAUUAGGUAGUUGGUGGGGUGAAAGCCUACCAAGCCGACGAUCUGUAGCUGGUCUGAGAGGACGACCAGCCACACUGGGACUGAGACACGGCCCAGACUCAUACGGGAGGCAGCAGUGGGGAAUGUUGGACAAGGGACGAAAGUCUGAUCCAGCCAUGCCGCGGGCAGAAAGAAGGCCUUCGGGUUGUAAACUGCUUUUGUCAGGGAAGAAAUCCCCUGGGUUAAUACCUCGGGGGAUGACGGUACCUGAAGAAUAAGCACCGGCUAACUACGUGCCAGCCGCCGCUGUAA
rnacentral:rRNA from 1 species